rnacentral:rRNA from 1 species
UAAAUACUGGCCGGAGACCGAUAGCGCACAAGUAGAGUGAUCGAAAGAUGAAAAGCACUUUGAUAAGAGAGUUAAACAGCACGUGAAAUUGUUGAAAGGGAGAAGCGCAUGCGACCAGACUCGCUCGCGAGGUUCAGCCGGCAUUCGUGCCGGUGUACUUCCCCGCGGGCGGGCCAGCGUCGGUUUGGGCGGCCGGUCAAAGGCCCCCGGAAUGUAUCACCUCUCGGGGUGUCUUAUAGCCGGGGGUGCAAUGCGGCCAGCCUGGACCGAGGAACGCGCUUCGGCACGGACGCUGGCAUAAUGGUCGUAAGCGACCCGUCUUGAAACACGGACCAAGGAGUCUAACAUCU